rnacentral:rRNA from 1 species
UACGUAGGGUGCAAGCGUUAAUCGGAAUUACUGGGCGUAAAGCGUGCGCAGGCGGCUGUGUAAGUCAGGGGUGAAAUCCCCGGGCUUAACCUGGGAACUGCACUUGUGACUGCACAGCUGGAGUACGGCAGAGGGGGAUGGAAUUCCGCGUGUAGCAGUGAAAUGCGUAGAUAUGCGGAGGAACACCGAUGGCGAAGGCAGUCCCCUGGGCCUGUACUGACGCUGUGGCGCGAAAGCGUGGGGAGCAAACAGG